GGAGAGGUGUCCGAGUGGUCGAAGGAGCACGCCUGGAAAGUGUGUAUAGCCGCAAGGUUAUCGAGGGUUCGAAUCCCUCUCUCUCCGCCA
rnacentral:tRNA from 1 species